AAAAUCCGAGGGAAGCCUGGCGUGCUGCAUUUCUUGGGGUCCGGAAAGAGUCGGACACGACAGAACGACUAAACUAACUGAACUGACGGAACCUGCGAGGUUUUGCCCCUCCCGAUGCCACGGCCCUUCUCCGUUUAGUGCCAUCAGAAUUCUCGUCCCACGUCAGCGCAGGCCCGGUGUCGGCCGCAUCCGGGCCACGCCCCUUCCCAAUUUGGCGCUCUCCGAUCUGCCUGCUGGCCCCGCCCCCUUAGGCCCCGCCCCGUCCGUCCUCUAUCCCAAGCGGCUCCGGCGGCCCCAGCCAUAGUCUCAGCUGGGCGCCGGGAGCUGCAACCAUGGCCGUCACCGCUGAGGGCGCCCGCAGGAAGGAGCGCGUCCUCUGCCUGUUUGACGUGGACGGGACCCUCACGCCGGCUCGCCAGAAAAUCGACCCAGAGGUGGCUGCCUUCCUGCAGAAGUUGCGAAGUAGGGUGCAGAUCGGUGUGGUGGGCGGCUCUGACUACUCGAAAAUUGCCGAGCAGCUGGGAGAGGGGGAUGAAGUUAUCGAGAAGUUUGAUUAUGUGUUUGCUGAGAACGGGACAGUGCAGUAUAAGCAUGGACGGCUGCUCUCCAAGCAGACCAUCCAGAACCACCUGGGGGAAGAGCUCCUGCAGGACUUGAUUAACUUCUGCCUCCGCUACAUGGCCCUGCUCAGACUGCCCAAGAAGCGUGGGACCUUCAUCGAGUUCCGGAACGGCAUGCUGAACAUCUCGCCCAUCGGCCGGAGCUGCACCCUGGAGGAGCGAAUUGAGUUCUCCGAACUAGACAAGACGCCUCAGAGGACAGGGUCUGAGGACAUUGAGGCCAGAGAGCAUGUGAACCAGCCUGAGGACACCGUGCUGGUCUCUGCUAAGGCUGGACUUGGUGGCCAGAUGGGGGCUGCCCACCUUGGUGCCUCGGCCACAGCGAGCCUGCCGUCUGCUCCCGCGACCAUGGCCCCCGUCAGCUCAGCAGCUAAGACGCUCCCCUCCAGGCCCAGUGCAGCUGUUCCCCUCUGUGGCCCCAGCAAGGCCAGGCUGGGGAAUCCCUGGGCUGAAGGAGAAGAUCCGGGAGAAGUUCGUGGAAGCCCUGAAAACCGAGUUUGCCGGCAAAGGACUGAGAUUCUCCCGUGGAGGCAUGAUCAGCUUUGACGUCUUCCCCGAGGGCUGGGACAAGCGCUACUGCCUGGACAGCCUGGACCAGGACUGCUUCGACACCAUCCAUUUCUUUGGGAACGAGACCAGCCCUGGCGGGAACGACUUUGAGAUCUACACUGACCCCCGGACGGUCGGCCACAGCGUGGUGUCGCCGCAGGACACGGUGCAGCGAUGCCGUGAGCUCUUCUUCCCAGAGACAGCCCACGAGGCGUGACCAGGGCCCACACCUGCCCUUCGGGACUUCAGGGAGCUCUGUCCACGCCAAGAGAGCCCCUGGCCCCAGCACUGGGGGUGCCAGGCCCCUCCUCUGGCCCAGCACCCCUGCCUCGUGUUACCUACUGAAGGCCCAGCUCUACGGGCCCAGGGUCUGUGUGGACAGCCACCCGCAGCUGGUCAGCUCCUGGUGGGCCUGGCUUCCAGCCUUCAGCCCGACCCAAUGGCCCUGGCUGCAGCUGCUGCCUGGACUCUUGGCAGAACAGGUCUCUGUCUACGCGGGAAGCGUGUGCGAAUGUUGGUACGAGAUAGAGCCCGCCCUGCCUGCCUGCCUGCCCUCCAUGGGGUGCAGAGCAGUGGGGACCAUGCACAUUCGUGAGAACUUUAUCUCAUGGAUAUUAA